rnacentral:rRNA from 1 species
AGAGUUUGAUCCUGGCUCAGGGUAAACGCUGGCGGCGUGCCUAAAACAUGCAAGUCGUACGGGCAGUCUUCGGACUGUCAGUGGCAGACGGCUGAGUAACGCGUGGGUGACCUACCUGGAAGUGGGGAAUAACUGCCCGAAAGGGUGGCUAAUACCGCAUGUGCUCACUGGUUCAUUCCGGUGAGUAAAGUCGCAAGGCGCUUCUAGAGGGGCCCGCGUCCGAUUAGCUUGUUGGUGGGGUAACGGCUUACCAAGGCGACGAUCGGUAGCUGGUCUAAGAGGAUGAUCAGCCAGACUGGGACUGUGACACGGCCCAGACUCCUACGGGAGGCAGCAGUUAGGAAUUUUGGGCAAUGGGCGAAAGCCUGACCCAGCAACGCCGCGUGGGUGACGAAGGCCUUCGGGUUGUAAAGCCCUUUUCUGAGGGAAGAUGAUGACGGUACCUCAGGAAUAAGCACCGGCUAACUACGUGCCAGCAGCCGCGGUAAUACGUAGGGUGCGAGCGUUGCCCGGAUUUAUUGGGCGUAAAGGGCGCGUAGGCGGCCAGACACGUCACGCGUGAAAUCUCCCGGCUCAACUGGGAGGGGUCGCGUGAUACGGUUUGGCUAGAGCAAGGUAGGGGGAGGUGGAAUUCCCGGUGUAGUGGUGGAAUGCGUAGAUAUCGGGAGGAACACCAGUGGCGAAGGCGGCUUCCUGGACCUUUGCUGACGCUAAGGCGCGAAAGCGUGGGUAGCGAUCCGGAUUAGAUACCCCGGUAGUCC